rnacentral:misc_RNA from 1 species
ACAGGUUGUAUAUGGAAAGUAGU